GUGGGGAAUAUUGGACAAUGGGCGAAAGCCUGAUCCAGCCAUGCCGCGUGUGUGAAGAAGGUCUUCGGAUUGUAAAGCACUUUAAGUUGGGAGGAAGGGUAGUAACCUAAUACGUUGCUACUUUGACGUUACCGACAGAAUAAGCACCGGCUAACUUCGUGCCAGCAGCCGCGGUAAUACGAAGGGUGCAAGCGUUAAUCGGAAUUACUGGGCGUAAAGCGCGCGUAGGUGGUUCAGUAAGUUGGAAGUGAAAUCCCCGGGCUCAACCUGGGGACUGCUUUCAAAACUGCUGAGCUAGAGUACGGUAGAGGGUGGUGGAAUUUCCUGUGUAGCGGUGAAAUGCGUAGAUAUAGGAAGGAACACCAGUGGCGAAGGCGACCACCUGGACUGAUACUGACACUGAGGUGCGAAAGCGUGGGGAGCAAACAGGAUUAGAAACCCGAGUAGUCC
rnacentral:rRNA from 1 species